CGCCAUAACACACAAUUGACAACCGGAAGGGCUUUCCUCAUUUUCCGCGAUUUUAUCACCGCUCGCUAACCCGGGAUAGCGUAUUGGCUUUAAUAUUUCUUUUUUUCCACGAAUGGAUUAGUCGAUGCCAUGCUUGCGUGUUACGAAAAAAAAUAUCCGACCAAAGAUUGCACAGACUGUUUGCAUGUGACAACCAAAUGAUCGUGACUGCAUUUUUUUUCACUAAGAAAAGAUGUCAUUUUUGCGCUUGUUCGAGUCGUUUUUGUUUUUACAAAUAGCUUAAGUUAUUGUACAGUUACAUUAUUGUAUUGUACAAUAGGAGCUGUUAAAACAAUUUCUAUCGUCUUUCCCGUUUCGUAAAGGGUAAAUAUUGUGUGUUUAGAUUACUUUAGUUAUUGGUCAAUUUGCGAAGACUGUAAAAAAAUUUUUUUUUUCGUAUCUACGGCUUGACCCUCUUAGUUAUUAAUUUGGAGGUAUAUUUCUGUGGAUUAAACGAUUCCAUCUUGCAUAGAAUCAUUGAAUGCGUGCUUCUCUACCAUAUGCUUAUAAUUGAAUUCCGUCGGCAAGGAAAUUCCUAAAAUAACACACUAAUAUGUAUUUAUAACAAGAAUUAUUUUGUGCAAACAUUUCCAGAUUUGUUUAAAAAACUGAACGAAGAAAAAGGAAAAUAAAAUAUGCUAUUAUUACAGUGGCUUUAUAUCACGUUUGCUUACAUCAGACUAUUCAAUGUACGACUGAAAUGAACAUUAUUAGAACGUUGCAAAUGAUAAACUGAUUAAGAUGAUAAUUAGGAGUCAACAAAGCUGUUAAAACUUUGAGCUUGGUUUUCUUUAAUCAAAAAUUUGAUUGCGAACACUUACGGAAUUUAACAAAUUUUUGUCAAAUUUAGCAAAGCAAAAUAGUAAUCCCUAAUUAUUGAAGCCACCUUCAAGUUUCUAAAGAAAAUACUUCGGACAAGGAAAGAUACUUUUAAAUAUCCUAUUAUUUGUAUUGUUUGUAAUUCGACAAUGCGUCGCUGACUUUUUCUACUCGACAAGUUCGAAGUUUAUUGAGAAAUUCGAGUUGGCAUCGUUCUCAAAACGUUUUCCUCGUGAAAACAAUCUUGUCAAAUAGAAUUUUUCAGAAAGCAUAUGACUUCAACCAGCGUGCGUAAAAAGAAGAUUGAUAGAGCCGAUCGAAUCGAUGGACUUAAAGAGCCAUGCAAAGCUGAACGGAUUUGGCUGCACGUGUUUUUCGUUGCUUCUUCGCGCGUUGCCUCGUUCUACGUUCUUUACCCUGCCUUCACUUCAACGAAAAUUACAAAGACGUUUCUUGAUGAGUUAUUGACAAAUUUAAAUUAUCAAGGCUGUUUUUUGUCGACCUUGGAAAAGGAGACCUGGCUGUUUUCUAAACGUAUAAGUGGACGGAUAUCUUCCGAACAGCUAAACCAAUUUGCUUCGGACUGAUUUUAUGGACAGCGAUCCGUGCAACUCGGCACGGAUCGAAUACCCCAAUAUCUUGGAGAACGAAAGGAGAGUCAACGUAAAAUACCUGCGAGAAGAUCCAGUACUCAGGUUCCAGAACAAGUUCGUUGCGCGUCGUUAACUAUGAUUUUCCAAGCUCGUUAAAAAAAUUAACGCGGCAUUGCAGGUGCUCGAUAUCACUGUAUUGCUUCAUCUUACUUCGUCGUGCAGGCUUCGAGUGAUACACUUGGAGCAACGGUUUCUUUGUAGCGGGUGUAUUACCUUAUUUGUUCAUCAUCUGUAUCCACGGCAUCGUCAAUUCCAUGAGCUACGCUUACGGAAAUAGAUCUUACGAGCAAAGAUCUUCAGCCGAUGCAGUGCAAGACUGUGUCUCUCGUGACAAUGGGAGAAUGCUGACACAGCUAUUAUCACACUUUCCCGUGGGACUAUGAAUCGAGUUGGCGGACCACGGGUUCAAUGUCGUCAACGCCUUCGUUGACUUUUUCGCAUGGAUGGCGUGGGUUUACGACUUGAAAAGCUUCUCAGCAGAGAUGGUUAGACUGAUCAGACUGGGCUAAUCAAGAUAUCACGGAUGACGAUAGGAAAGCGACGAUGAUUACUUGGAAAUUGUUAUAACAGCGACAGCAAAGGAAUACGAUUCGAGACACUUGUCCAUAUUUUACUUGAUUUUCGUUUUGUCUCACUAUACCUACGCACUCUUGAGCUCUGUACUCGAGAGAGCACGUUUACUACAAUUAUCAUUUUCGUUGAUGUUAUCACACGAAAUAUAUGUUUA